UACGGAGGAUGCAAGCGUUAUCCGGAAUGAUUGGGCGUAAAGCGUCCGCAGGUGGCUAUGUAAGUCUGCUGUUAAAGAGUGAGGCUCAACCUCAUAAGAGCAGUGGAAACUACAUGGCUAGAGUGCGUUCGGGGCAGAGGGAAUUCCUGGUGUAGCGGUGAAAUGCGUAGAGAUCAGGAAGAACACCGGUGGCGAAAGCGCUCUGCUGGACCAUAACUGACACUCAGGGACGAAAGCUAGGGGAGCGAAUGGG
rnacentral:rRNA from 1 species